rnacentral:rRNA from 1 species
AGAGAGAGACAUGCGCGCAUAUCAAUAAGCGGAGGAAAAGAAACUAACAUAGGAUUCCCUCAGUAACGGCGAGUGAAGCGGGAAGAGCUCAAAUUUGAAAUCUUCAGGGUUCUACCUUGACGAAUUGUAGUUUAAAGAAGUGUUUUCUGUUGGAAUUUUGGUAAAAGUUCUUUGGAAUAGGACAUCAUAGAGGGUGAGAAUCCCGUAUUUGACCAUUAUUUCCAACUUUGUGAUACACUUUCAAAGAGUCGGAUUGUUUGGGAAUGCAGUCCAAAAUGGGUGGUAAAUUUCAUCUAAAGCUAAAUACUGGCGAGAGACCGAUAGCGAACAAGUACCGUGAGGGAAAGAUGAAAAGAACUUUGAAAAGAGAGUUAAACAGUACGUGAAAUUGUCAAAAGGGAAGCGUUUGACACCAGUGUUGUUUUUCCGAAAAUCAAUUAAGAAUGUUUUAUUUUUGAGGAGUUAUGACUUCAUCGGCUUGCUCCUUUCUUUAUGAAACUUUCUUAAUGCACUUUUCGGUUAACAAGUCAACAUCAAUUUCUUUUGUUGCAAAAGGGUAUGAGGAAGGUGGCUUUCUUUUCGGAGAAAGUGUUUAUAGCCUUGUGCCUCUGCAAUCGGAGAGAUUGAGGUCUGCAGCGUAGAUCCUUCGGGGUUAGAUACAUUUGUGCUAAGUUAUAGCUUUUCAUAGACAACUUGUUGACUAUGUUAAGUCUUGUAAUUUACUCGCAGAUGCUACUUUACCUACGCUUAGGAUGUUGACAGCAGUAUAGACUGU